AGGGAGUGUCAGAGCCCGGUCUCAGGCACAGCCUCCGAUGUGGAUCGGAGGUGGGCAAGAAGCCAAGACCAGGGAGGCGCGGAGGUCUCGAAGGUUUGUGGAUCUAGAGAGGAAACUCCCCUUACCCUGGACAACCGGAGGAGUAGGAAGAGUCAUCACAUGCAAGAGCACGAGCUCUGAGUUGUGGAACUUGAGCAACAGCUGAUGUCACUACAGUCUACCCACAAAGGGUUCUUUUGAAGACGCAGGCUUCAGUUCUUUGCAGGAAUGGGACCAGUUCUCAGGGUUCCACGACUGGCCGUUAUUCGUUAUGCCAAGGGUUUGGCCUGAGAGGUUCGAUCGUGUUUGGAAGUCUAAGAUCUCAGGGCUCUGGAGACGGGUGGAUGUCACAGCAGGAGACUCGUGUGUCGUCGGGGAGGGAGGCCGGAAAAUCUUUCGCUGUGGGCCAGAAGACCCGAGCUCGUAAAAAGCGACAAAACGGACUUUUAACAUUGUAAACCAGCGGGUUGUUGUUCUGUCUCCCGCUCGCUGUGAAAAUGGGGGCUAUCUCCCUUUCCCUUGCCAGGGAGAGAGAGAACCUGUGGUUUGUCGAAUGUCAGAUGAAAUACAAGGCCUUUGGGGUAACUUUGGUGUGUCUUUGCUAUUGCUUAGCAGACGGUUGGGUUCGGUGACGGUACCGAUGUGCUUUUUUUUUGCUGGUGGGGGGGGGAUCGUUGCUCGCUCCCGCUUACGCGCGGGAGGGGGAGGCUUGAGAGGGACUUUGGAGUUCUCACGUUUAACUGUCGUUC